UACGUAGGGGGCUAGCGUUGUCCGGAAUCAUUGGGCGUAAAGCGCGUGUAGGCGGCCCGGUAAGUCCGCUGUGAAAGUCGGGGGCUCAACCCUCGGAUGCCGGUGGAUACUGUCGGGCUCGAGUACGGAAGAGGCGAGUGGAAUUCCUGGUGUAGCGGUGAAAUGCGCAGAUAUCAGGAGGAACACCGAUUGCGAAGGCAGCUCGCUGGGACGUUACUGACGCUGAGGAGCGAAAGCGUGGGGAGCAAACAGG
rnacentral:rRNA from 1 species